GACGAACGCUGGCGGCGUGCUUAACACAUGCAAGUCGAACGGUGAACGAGGGAGCUUGCUCCCUCCGGAUCAGUGGCGAACGGGUGAGUAACACGUGAGCAAUCUGCCCCGAACUCUGGGAUAAGCGUUGGAAACGACGUCUAAUACCGGAUACGACGCGGGAGGGCAUCCUCUCCGCGUGGAAAGAACUUCGGUUCGGGAUGAGCUCGCGGCCUAUCCGCUUGUUGGUGAGGUAACGGCUCACCAAGGCGCCGACGGGUAGCCGGCCUGAGAGGGUGAACGGCCACAAUGGGACUGAGACACGGCCCAGACUCCUACGGGAGGCAGCAGUGGGGAAUAUUGCACAAUGGGCGCAAGCCAGAUGCAGCAACGCCGCGUGAGGGACGACGGCCUUCGGGUUGUAAACCUCUGUUAGCAGGGAAGAAGCGAAAGUGACGGUACCUGCAGAAAAAGCACCGGCUAACUACGUG
rnacentral:rRNA from 1 species